rnacentral:rRNA from 1 species
UACGUAGGUGGCAAGCGUUGUCCGGAUUUACUGGGCGUAAAGAGCGCGCAGGCGGUCGGAUAAGUCGAAUGUGAAAGCCCCCGGCUCAACUGGGGAGGGUCAUUCGAUACUGUUCGACUCGAAGGCAGGAGAGGGAAGUGGAAUUCCCGGUGUAGUGGUGAAAUGCGUAGAUAUCGGUAGGAACACCAGUGGCGAAGGCGGUCUCCUGGGGCACACUUGACGCUGAUGCGCGAAAGCUGGGGGAGCGAACGGG